rnacentral:rRNA from 1 species
UACAGAGGGUGCGAGCGUUGUUCGGAAUUAUUGGGCGUAAAGCGCGUGUAGGCGGUGACGCGUGUCGGGUGUGAAAUCCCUCGGCUUAACCGAGGAAGUGCGCCCGAAACUGCGUCGCUAGAGUGCCGGAGAGGGUGGCGGAAUUCCCGGUGUAGAGGUGAAAUUCGUAGAUAUCGGGAGGAACACCAGCGGCGAAGGCGGCCACCUGGAAGGACACUGACGCUGAGACGCGAAAGCGUGGGGAG